UCCUCUGUGGCGCAAUUGGCUAGCGCGUCUGACUGUUAUUCAGAGGUUGGAAGUUCAAGCCUUCCCGGAGGAG
rnacentral:tRNA from 1 species